rnacentral:rRNA from 1 species
UACAGAGGUCUCAAGCGUUGUUCGGAUUCAUUGGGCGUAAAGGGUGCGUAGGCGGCGCGGUAAGUCGGGUGUGAAAUUUCGAGGCUUAACUUCGAAACUGCAUUCGAUACUGCCGUGCUUGAGGACUGGAGAGGAGACUGGAAUUUACGGUGUAGCGGUGAAAUGCGUAGAUAUCGUAAGGAAGACCAGUGGCGAAGGCGGGUCUCUGGACAGUUCCUGACGCUGAGGCACGAAGGCCAGUGGAGCAAACGGG